AUUGAACGCUGGCGGCAUGCCUUACACAUGCAAGUCGAACGGCAGCACGGGAGCAAUCCUGGUGGCGAGUGGCGAACGGGUGAGUAAUAUAUCGGAACGUGCCCAGUCGUGGGGAUAACGUAGCGAAAGCGUACGCUAAUACCGCAUACGAUCUAUGGAUGAAAGCGGGGGAUCGCAAGACCUCGCGCGAUUGGAGCGGCCGAUAUCAGAUUAGGUAGUUGGUGAGGUAAAGGCUCGCCAAGCCGACGAUCUGUAGCUGGUCUGAGAGGACGACCAGCCACACUGGGACUGAGACACGGCCCAGACUCCUACGGGAGGCAGCAGUGGGGGAAUUUUUGGACAAUGGGCGCAAGCCUGAUCCAGCAAUGCCGCGUGCAGGAUGAAGGCCU
rnacentral:rRNA from 1 species